ensembl:misc_RNA 7SK 7SK RNA
GGAUGUGAAGUAGAUCUGGCUAUGACAUCUGUCACCCCACUGAUUGCCAGCAUUGAUUCGGUUGAUCUGGCUGGCUAGGAGGGUGUCCCUGUCUCCUUCCCUAUUCUAUGUGCAUCCUUCCUGAAGCUGCACGUUCAGUCAAAGAGGAUGACUUUCCCUGAUAGAGGAGGACCAUUCUUCAGUCAGGGUAAGAGUAAGUAGCUAGAACCUCCAAAUAAGUUCUCAAAAUCAACCAGUGUAAUCCACCACAACAAUCAGCUAACGAAGAAAAAACAAAUCACAGGAUCGUAUCAAUUGAUGCAAAGUAUUU